rnacentral:rRNA from 1 species
AUGGCAGGGACGGUGACUGUGCCCGGAUCGUCGGUGCCAUCAACGCCGCUGCUCAAGGACGAGCUGGACAUCGUGAUCCCGACCAUCCGCAAUCUCGACUUCCUCGAGAUGUGGCGCCCCUUCUUCCAGCCGUACCACCUCAUCAUCGUGCAGGACGGCGACCCCAGCAAGGUCAUCAAGGUUCCUGAGGGCUUCGACUACGAGCUCUACAACCGCAACGACAUCAACCGCAUUCUCGGCCCCAAGGCCUCAUGCAUCUCCUUCAAGGACUCCGCGUGCCGCUGCUUCGGCUACAUGGUCUCCAAGAAGAAGUACGUCUUCACCAUCGAUGACGACUGCUUCGUGGCCAAGGACCCAUCUGGCAAAGACAUCAAUGCUCUUGAGCAGCACAUCAAGAACCUCCUCAGCCCGUCCACCCCGUUUUUCUUCAACACCUUGUAUGACCCCUACCGUGAAGGUGCGGACUUUGUCCGUGGAUACCCCUUCAGCCUUAGGGAGGGUGCCCCCACCGCGGUCUCUCAUGGCCUUUGGCUGAACAUCCCUGACUAUGAUGCACCCACACAGAUGGUUAAGCCUCGUGAGAGGAACAGCAGGUAUGUUGAUGCCGUCCUGACUAUUCCCAAGGGGACACUGUUCCCCAUGUGUGGCAUGAACCUUGCCUUUGACCGUCAGCUCAUUGGCCCUGCAAUGUACUUUGGCCUCAUGGGUGAUGGCCAGCCUAUUGGUCGCUACGAUGACAUGUGGGCUGGAUGGUGCGUCAAGGUCAUCUGCGACCACUUGAGCCUUGGAGUGAAGACUGGGCUGCCAUACCUGUGGCACAGCAAGGCUAGCAACCCAUUUGUCAACUUGAAGAAAGAGUACAAGGGCAUCUUCUGGCAGGAGGACAUCAUCCCCUUCUUCCAGAACGCCACCCUCUCCAAGGAGUGUGACACAGUCCAGAAGUGCUACAUCUCACUCUCGGAGCAGGUCAAGGAGAAGCUUGGCAAGAUUGACCCUUACUUCGUGAAGCUUGCUGAUGCCAUGGUCACCUGGAUCGAGGCCUGGGACGAGCUGAACCCAUCUGAUACCGUCGUUGCUGCUGGGAACGGCAAGGCAGCAGCCAUGUAG